CGAUGAAGAUAACUUCUGUCCUCUCUGCACUUAGGGACUCAGCAUGGACCGGCAAGCUCUCUGGUUCCUGGUUGUCAGUGGCUAGACCUGGAGCAGAGAGGAAGGAAGGAAGAAGGGGUCAGAAGUCCCCAAAGCAACUGCAGACACCCACGAAAACACCACCAGUCUGAGAAGAACUUUGCAGCCCAGUGUCCUCCUGCCCACCCCUGCCCAGAUUCCUGAGCCUAUGCAGGGCUCUCAGCCGCCAGAGAAGCCCCUCGUCCUGUCCUCACAUUUGAUAGAGUGUGGGGCUGGCUGAGGUAACGUGAAGAGCAGACGGCAGACAGGAACACUGAACUGGCUGUUUGUCCACAUUUUCUUCCGAGCUUUAUGGCAAGCCAGGCGAACCACCCGAGCUGUACUUUGUACAGAAACAGGGUCAUGUCACAGUUUCGACGCAUUGGCUUGUGCUGUACCCUGAGUGGCCUCAGUCCGUGCACACCUCCUGCCUCUCAGAGCCGCCUUGCUCUCUCUAGUGGCGCUCUCUGCUGUUCUCACACCCUCCCCACCUGUCCUUAUUCACUUGUUCAGCCUCCCCCACACUGAGCAGCUUAGCUUGUAGGAUGUGGUCUGUGUAGUCCCACAAUGGCUGUCUCGAACCAGAGAGGCCAAGGAUCUGGGAGUUCUGUCUACUAGGCUCCGCAGUCCCAGUCUGGUGCUGAAGGCCUGGGGGAUUGCCGCUUGUCUUCGGCCUGUGUUGAGAUCCUGAAGAAGCAGGUUCUAAUGUUGGUGAGAGACAGCAACGGCAGCAGGCUAGAUGAACUUUCCAGUGAGAGCAUGGGCAACCCAGCAAAAAACAGCUUGCUUUUCCCUUCCCGUUAUCUGGUCACCAGGAGGUGCUGCUCGCAUUUAGGGUGAUUCUUCUUGCUUCAGAUAAUCUGAGGUCAAAAAAAUCCCACACGGGAGUGCCCAGCAACUGUGUUUUAGUUGACUCCAGAUGUAAGUCAUGUUGACAACCAAGACUUGCCACCAUGGUAAUUUAUGCCAGAAAAGGUGAGACGCUGUCAACCCUGCACUGCCUGCCAGCCAAGCAGCCUGCCCAGAGCCUUCUUGCUUAGACCCAAGCCCUGCCUACUUGCCUGAUUGCAUAUUACUUUUGAACUAUACACUUUUAAAGAAUGAGUUGUUAUGUUUCUUCUGUCUACCACAUGCCAGGCUGCGUGCUGGUUUUAGCCAGUAGACCAGUUCUCCUUCACCUCAGAGUCAACCCAGCUGACUCUAAUGGGAGAGGCAACUCCAGGUUCCUGGACAUGCAAGCUGCAUCUGAUCCAUCCUUCACAGCCUUGAUGUGUAGUUCCCAGCACAGGAUUUACACCCUCCUGCAUAUCCUUACCAGUGCAGCCUCUGUGGUAUAUAUAGAUCCUGCUCAAGCGGCCCUGGGACAUUGACUGGCAAUAAAAGAGAAGGCCCUAUAAAACACUGACACCUCCCUUUAGGGACCUCAUCUGCCAGAGAGCUCCCCAAAGAUAGCAUGAUAGAUACAACCUUACUUACAGUUUACUGCCUCUUCUGUAAAUAUGUGAUAACCUGUUUUCCAGCUCCUCCUACCUCCCACCACCCUAAACACAAACACAUGCAUGCUCAUAUAUGUACAUACAUGUGUACAUGCAUGUACAUAAAUAUGUUGGAGGAGGGUGAGGACAGAGAUGAGCAACCAUGAUGUCAUCAGCUCUGUGAUUCCCACAGGCCUGAUACAUGCUAUACACAUAGUAGGUACUCAAGCAAGUGUGUCUGGACCCAUGUAUGAAGGGACCCUGUCCAGCCUCUCUGAAGCCUCACAGACUUGGACAUGGAGCAUGGCUUUGCUCUCUGGGACAUUAGCCAGUAGCCCUCAGGAAGGUGUGGUCAUUGCCCGUGGGAGGCCUAGUCCAUACUCCCACGCUGGAGCUAGGCCAGUCAAAGGUCAGUCUUGGUCCUUAUCUGGACUCAGGUGACAUGGAAAAUUAGCAGCCUUAGCCCAGAGAGUGUUUACGUAACACCUGCUGAUUCACGGUUGAAGUAAAGAUCGGUACAAACCAUGGAAAGUAAGAGACUGGCUGGGCUGGGCCUCGAGGCAGUGGGAGUGAGACCCAGCAGUCCUGGGAGGCUGGCGCUCCUUCCUCAUCCUUCUGGACUCAGCACUCUGGGGGAGGCAGGAAGCUCUCAGCUUGCAUUCCCUACAAGAGUCUCCCUGUUGGCUCUUAGGAAGCCUCUGAAAGAGUCAACCAUACCUCACACCCCACAUCCUAAUCACAGCUGCUUCACCUGACUCACUAUUUGAACCUGUCUUCCCGUUGGUUCGUCACUUCAGGAAAUGCAUCUGUGAAGUCCCCUCCAGUUGCCACAAAAUAUUCACGUUAGAAAGCAUCUUGGCCUGAGGGUACCCUAAAUCCUCCUGAAAAGCUGGAACUGACACUUCUGUGGUGGCCUCCAUAGGAAGCUGAAAUCUUUGUUUAUCAAGCGUGCUGCCCAGGUCCCAGGAUUCUUGAUCGUCCAAGGCCAAGACCGUCCUCCGACUUCACACUCUCACCAUCCACAGCUCCUUCCCAUGCUAUGAUGUCAUCACAGUGGGAGCCAUGAUGUCAUCACAGUGGGAGCCAUGAUGUCAUCACAGUGGGAGCCAUGAUGUCAUCACAGUGGGAGCCAUGAGGUCAUCACAGUGGGAGCCAUGAGGUCAUCACAGUGGGAGCCAUGAGGUCAUCACAGUGGGAGCCCAGAUGCUCUGAUGCUCAUCUCUCUCAGGUGCCUCUGCUUGGAGAGGUACUAUGGCUUUGUUCUAGUCGCUAUGGCACUGGCUAGGGACCACAAUCAGGGUGAAAACCACAGCAUAAUGAAACCUUACAGUAGACCAAGAUCCCUUCCCAGGAGGACUGAAGGUAUGGGGGCCCGGCUGCUUGUUCCUGGCCUCCUUGAAGCUGGGCAGGUAGCCCUGACUUUAAGGUAGCCUUUGGUUUGCUCUGCACACAAAUGCCAGGUGGACUGGGAUUGGCUAUCAGAGAAAAUGCCUAGCAUUGAGCUGUCCCUUGGGACACUUCCCAGCUCUCAAAUCUGUUUCUGAAAUUAGAUAGCUAUCCCCUCUUUCUCUCCCGUAGCCUAACUUUGCCUCUCUUGGUGACUCAGUUAGAAAUGGAUUUAGGAGCAGCCCAGCCAAGGGGGCAUAAGAAACACAUCAGUCCAGCAGUCUUUCCCUCUCUGAGCCCUGGGUCCUUCAUACAGAGGAGUUUUGUCUUCACCAGAACUCCAGGCAACAUUAUGGUCUAUGCCUCUCUUCUCUGGGUAUUUGGGAUUCUGUGUGAGAAUCACAGGUGGAUAUUGUCUUUCCACCAGGUCAGACACAUCCCCGGGACUCUAAGAGCCCUGCGUUCAAGCUCACCCUCCAGUGUGCAUAUUCCGCUGUUUGUUCCUUGUCAGGGACAAGACCAGCCCUGGCCACCUGAGAGUCUAGCCCGAGCUCAGCACAGAGAGUGUCCCCUGGAUCCUGGAUACAGAUGUCAGUGAUCAGGCAGGCCCUCUAGAUUCUGAGAGCCGGCACACCCAGCAGACCACUGGGCCAAGUGACUCCAGUCCAGCCUGUGGCCAUGUCCACCUCUAGUGCCAUGUACUUCCCUUUCUGAGAAAGGGCAGAAAAACAGGGAAGCAAUGGGGACUUGGGAAAGAAAAGGAUGAUUGAGAACUCUGGCAUGGUUAACAUUUUUUUGAAAGGUUACUUAUAUAGAGUCUAUAUUCCUUUAUAUAAAAUAUUUCCAAGUAAAAAAUGUUAAAAUGACUGGCUGUGGCAGUGGUACACAGUUUUAAUCUCAAUAGUUGGGACAAAGAAGCUGGCAGAUCUCUGUAAGUUCAAAGCCAAUUUGGUUUACAUAACAAGGUCUAAGCCAGCCAAGGCUACACAGGGAGACCCUGCUUCCUAAAAACAAACAAAACCCCAAAACAAAACAACAAAACAAAAACUUAAAAUAGCAAUGAACAUGCCCAAGGCCUGAGCUAAAUAUGUCUUUGGUGUAACUACCUGAUACUUUCCAGGACUCAAACACAGAAGACUGUUGCCUUCUGUUUCCACUCACGGCACACGCUACCUUCCCGAACCUGUGAUGCAGGAGUUACCUGUCCAGUGUCCCUCAGAAACACCAUUGCAAUCUCAUUUAAAUUUGUUUGUUCUUCAAGUCAAGGUUUCUCUGUGCAGUCCCGGCUAUCCUGGAACUCACCCUGUAGACCAGGCUGUUGAACUCACAGAUAUCCACCUGCCUCUGCCUCCCAAGAACUAGGACCACAGCCAGCAUCAUUGAGUUAAGAGGAUGACUUGUAUUUUUACUUUUGGUUUAUGAGUGUUUUGCCUGCAUGUUUGUGCACCACACACAAGCCUGAAGGCCUCAGAGGGCAGAAAAGAAAGGAGAACUUGGAACUGGACUUAUGGACAGUUGGGAGCAGCUGUGUGUGUGUCUUAGGAACCGAGUCUGCAUCUGUAAGUACUCUUAACCUCUGAGCUACUGAUCUAGUCCCAGCAUUUAAAUUUCUCAAUAAGUCUUUGAAGGCAAUCCCUUCAAAACACACCAAAUUCCUAUGCAUGCCUAUUUGAAAUACAACAAAGUAUUUAAGUUUCCUUUGAGAGUGGAACACCACCAGCUACUCCUUGGCCUCUUACCCUUAGGGGAUGGCACGUGACUCUUGGGUGCAUCUUACUCUUUUCUUGAAAUUCUUUCUUUAUAUUAACCCCUGUCUUUGAAUCAGUCUAUGUUUAAAAUGUCUUUUAAGGGAUGGUGAGGUAAAUUUAGGUAGCUGCCUCAAAAUUAUGAAUGUCAGGGAUCUACCCCCAGAAACCUCGUAAAGGCCUAAAGAGAAGACAGACUCCAUGAAGUUGCUCUCUGACCUCCACAUCGUGUACACAUAUAUACAUGCGCACACCUACACACGUAGCCAUGCCCACGCCCACACAUAUUCUUACACACACACAAUUUUAAUGUCUUUUUUCUGGGUGUAGUUGCACCUGGCUUUAAUCCCAGCACCGUGGAGGAACAGGCACCAGAAAAAUAUCAAAGAAAGAGAGGGCCAGCUGCCAAGCAGCUGAAAGCCCUUGAUGCCAAGUCUAACCUCUGAGUUUGGUCCUCGGGACUGCGUAGCAGAAGAAGACAAACUUGAAGUUUGACUCUCCACAGCUAGUGUGGCUCUGACUUUUCUCCAAAGUCCUAACUGCUCCACGCCUAACAUGAGAGUUAGGAAGAGAGCCUUCUUCUUCCAGCGGACUAGGGUCACAUGCCACCCUGGUGAGGGUGAGAUCUGCAAGGGGGAGAAGUUAGUAUUGUUCCUCUUUCAGGUCUCUGCUUUGUCUGUGGCCCCAGACCCCGGCCACCUUGGCUCUCGGGCCCUGGGAACCUCUGGAGUUCUUCCCGCUGUAGCAGGACCUCUUCACCUACAUCAGCAGAAUGACCAGAAGCAUGAGGAGCCUGUGUCCACCUCGUUGGUGUCUGUGUCCUUUCUGCUCCAGUUCAUGCACAGCUCUGCACAUAAGUAUGGUAGUUACUCAAGGAGCAUCUUCCCAACCUCCCCGAACGCCUCACGGCUGAAGAAACAAAGACGGGAGUCUCUGAAGCAUCUGCUGGCUUCACAGUGUCUUGUUCCAUAUCCCCCCAAAAUGCAUGAAAAGUCUCUAGUCUUAAUUUGCAGUGACCCGGGGUGUGUGUGUGUGUGGGGGGGGUCAGAAUAACAUUCGCACAGAUCCUUUAACCCAGUCACCUCUUGGGAACCCCAUUAUCCCUCAGGAAGGACUCCUUGGUGGCACCCUACUCAAUCAGAACUGAGACAGUGACCAACCAGCUACAUUGUGACCAGGACUUCUAAUGAUCUAGACCCUUCUGACUCCUCGUCUUAAACCCAAAGCUCAUGUUAGUACCUGAAAGAUGGGUUGACAGAUUUUGUUACCACUCUUGCCCAAGGACUGCAUUGGGUAAGUUCCUUUCCUGCAUUUUUAUUUGCUUUCUUAGGGGUGUCAGCAGAACCCACAUUUUGGAGCCCUCAGAUUUGGAUCUCUGUUUCAGGGCUCAGGUUACAUAGCCAGCAUGGUCUGUCACCUUUCUGACGCUCCCUUCCCAGUGCCUUUGCUGACUCUCCGGAUGGGUCUGAUGCCCUGGCCUGUGCCUACCAGGUGUGAGUGCUGGGCCACGGAGGAAGCAGCUCUGAUCCUGUCUCGCACAGCACAGUGGCCUCCAGCUCAGCAUCAACCUGGGAGUUGCAUGCAUGGAGCCUCCAGGAUUUUGGAGAAGAAAGUCACAAGAAGAACCUUCAACCCCACAAGCAGAAGUUGGCCUCUACUCACAUUAAGAUGAGACCCAAACAACGGGACCCACAGGGUCCCUGACCGAGCAUAACAUAGACUCCUGAUUCCCUGAGUGGCCAGCCUCAGAAGUUGACACAUUGGCCGCAGCUUACCUGUGUGCACCAACUCCCUCCCCUGUAGGCCUGGGCACUGACCCACGGUCAGAUGACAAGAAAGCGUUCUAUUUUCUUCUUCCUACUUAGUACACACCAAAGCACCCAGCUGCAGCCUCGGCUAUCUCCUGGAGCUUACUGUGAGGCGCCUGGAGAGACACAGAUCUCUGCUUCCAAUGUCCAGGGCGCCUGGACACUCCCUCAGCCUCACCUUUACUCAGGACAAAUCCUCAAGACGGAGGCAUCCAGUGAAGAGAGGGUCCCAGGGAGGCUGCAGCCAGGGACAUCCUGCCUUGAGCUUUCACCCCACAGGCUUUAGAAUCCCAACACUCUGGGUGCCGCGUCCCCUCAAGUCUCACCUGUGUGGGUGCUCCAGCUUCGUACCUGCUCCUCAGGCAGUGAACUCUGGUGUAGCCCUUACUGAGCUCAUCCUGACCUGAGGGCGUGGCUGAGAGGAGGCGGUCCAAGUACCACCCACUUUCAUACACAACAGACGCAUUAAUCGAGGAAGAAAGCAAACUCUGGGAAACAGUGUCACUUUCAGGAACUACCCUGAGUACACAGGACAGUGACGCCUUCAUUAAAAUAUUUUAAUUGGAAGCGGCUUUUAGCCGCUUGUCUUAAGAACACAGGAAGAAAGUCUAGGCUUUUUCCUAGAAAAGUCCUGGCUGAGGUCAAUGUUUGAUUCAGGGCACAGGGGCUGCUCAUUUAGGGGAACUUGUUUCCCUGCAUGGGACAUCACAGGCAAGAUUACUCUGGGCCAUCAUGCAGGGAAAGGCAGGAGCUUUAGAAUCGACCUAAGGAAGGCAGGAGCCUAGUGCCCACAGUGGACACAGUCUGUGGGUUCCAUGUUCACAGGGUUCCCAGAUACCCCUUGUGCCAACACAUGUUAGAAAGAGGGUCAGAUAACCACGAUCCCACUAUUGUAUCCUUCCCGGCAAGGCUUUGGCUACCAGACCAGAGGUAGGUGGGGGUCCUCCGUAUGGUGGGGCAAGAAUGUCCCUUGAUAAGGAAUCUUGAAGGGCAGCUGAAGGUUCUCAGUGUCUCACCCACACUGUGAAAGUGAAACUAGAUUGUUUGUUUUGAAACUACAACGCUCGGACAAGAACAUUACGGUCUUCCCCAGUGACAGUCCCAACUCUAAUGCGAUACAUGCUUAGCGUACAUCUGGAGAGUCUGUGUGUAAAAAACACCUACCCUGGUGUGAAUGCAGUCCUGCUGCUUGUGUCCUGCUCCACUAGGAGUCACCUUCUGUGCAUUCUCUGAUCAGAAACUCCUCUGCCAGGAGUUGUGACAUCUCUUGACUCAUCCAUAGAUUUUUUUCAGAUUUAUGCUCCAAGGUCACUUUCAAUUUACUCAGCAGGAUCUGCUGAGGAUUUAGGAGUGCUGGGUAUCUAUUUCCUGUUGUCCUCCAUGGCUUGAUCCUGUUUUUAAUCUCUCUCUCUCUCUCUCUCUCUCUCUCUCUGUCUCUCUCUCUUCCUAGCUCCCUCCCCUUCCCUCCCUCUCCCCCCUCUCUCUUCCUAGCUCCCUCCCUCCUUCCCUCCCUCUCCCCUCUCUCUCUCUCUCUCUCUCUCUGUGUGUGUGUGUGUGUGUAUGUCCUACCUUAGGUGCUAUCCACAUUUUUGAAACAGGGUCUUUCGUUGGCCUGGGUUUCAUCAGGUAUACUAAUGAGUCUGCGAGAUCACUACCUUCUCAGUGCUGGGAUUAUAACUGUGCACAUCAUACUUGGCUUUUAAUUUUUUUUUAACAUGGAUUCUGGGAAUCAAACUUGGGUCCUCAUUUUUGCAAAGCUGACACUUUACCAACUGAGACAUCUCUUCAAUCCAUCCUUUUGUCUUCCAUGCAUUUGGGGUUUGCAUGCACGACUUCAUGGUCUCACACACAGUGUCAUCUGUAGAUAUGGCUCAUGUCCUUGGGCCAUGUGUGUGCUCUCUUCUCGGGAAGCUGAGUUUUACCUGUGUCUCCAUAUCCAGGCAGCCGAUACCGUGGGUUACUCACUACCUAUUUGGACUGACUUGAGCCAACAGUGACAGGGAGGGGGAAGGGGAAAUGGAAUGAGUUGGGUGUUAGUGAAGCCUUGGGGAUGGAGCAGGAAGAAAGAUGUGCAUAUGGCGGGGGCAGGGGUCAGAUUGCAGUUUAGGUUUCUGUUGUCAGGAGCUUGGUCUUGAAGGUCAUUUUCCUUUGGGGUCUGAAUCGUGUCCUCACAUCUGUAAAAUAUCACCUGAGGUAAAACACUAGCUUGAUUGAGAAGACCUGGUUUUGGCCCUGAAGAAGAGAGACUCAGGCUGUGACUAACCUGGAAGCACAACAGAGGCAGUUUAUCUGGACCAAUGGACAGCCAGGAAGACACCACAGAGUGGUUCUUCUCCUAGGGUGCAAGUGACAGGUUUGUGUCCAAACCCAGAAUCAAAGACCCUGCAGACCCUGACCCCCCAGGACAGCAGGUAGAGCAUGCACUGUCCUGGAGUCUCCUGUGAGCUUCUCAUGCUAAUGACAGAGUCGAUGUGCAUCACUGCGCGAGGUGAUCUCCUGUGCACACGCAAACCAUGCACAUCAUACAGGGACGCAUGGCCCAGAGCACGUUCCUGCUGGAGCGGCAGAAUUGUUCCCUGUGCUGGUGGUGGGUCUGAGGUCCCAUGACACAGAUAGCAGUACAGUGUAGGUGCAGACGAGUCUCUUGGGACUAGCUUCCUAUUCUAUGAAGACAAACCUGUUCGAGGGCAGACAGCAUCUGUCCAGGUGUCCUUUGAAGGUUCCUACAAGAAUUCUCUGCCCUGAAGGACUUCUGUCUUUGACCUUGACAGAGAACCGGGACAGGGAGCACAGUGGAACUGGCAUUCACUCAAUCCUCGACAAACAAAACCUAAAGAGACAGAAGCCAUGGGGACCAGAACAGUUAGAGAAGCCUCUGACUCAGUUUCCCUCUGGGAUUCCUGUAGCUGCAGGGGACGAGGGACUUCGUGGACCUGGAAGUCUCCCCCUUUCAGUAGAGGUUCAAAUAAUGGCUUUUAAUGUAGCUUCAUGCGUCAGCAUUUGUGACUGGUUUAGAAAACUCAUGACAAGCUUCAAGGGCCCUGAGCUGCUAAGUGAGAGGAGACCCAGGAGCUGAGGGGCUGCAACAAGACCUGUGGCCGUUAUCAUUUGAUUUGAUUACAUUUAGAAUGAAUCACUUCUCCAUAUGUCUAUGGCAGUAUUCCCAGAAGUUUAACUGAGGAGGAUGUGGGUAGCAUCACUCUAGGGGCUGGGAUUGGAAUUCCAGAUUGAACAGCAAGCCUUUAAUCCCAGCACUUAGGAGGCAGAGGCAGUUGGAUCUCUGUGAAUUCAAGGCCAGCCUGAUACACUGUGAGUUCCAGGACGCCAGGGUUACACAGAGAAACCCUGUCUUGAAAAAAUGGAAAAAGAAAAGAGACAGCAAACUGGGCACCAGCAGUGGGUUUUUCUGUCUCCUGAGGGAACACAAUGUUUUUCAGCUGCUUCAAGGUUUUGCAACCAUGCCUUCCCCACAGAUAGACUGUGUCCUCAAACUGAGACAAAAUAGCCGUUUCUUCCCUAAACUGCAUGUUUCAAUUAUUUUGUUUCAACAAUAAAAGUAAUUGACAUGGU